AGUAAAACACAAAUUCUUGCUCAGAUCGGAUGCGAAGAAAUUAUCCAGAGGCCCAUGGUAGCCGCGUGUGAAGAAAACCUGCCCAAAAGAGCUGGCAGAAGUGCCCGUCGGCUCCAGCGAAUGUGUCGUGCGUGACGGUUUCUGUUCAGACUGGAGGUAACGGUUGCCUUUUGGAAGACAGCAGGAGAAUUGGGAUGCGUAACCGCGGCAGAGUGCCGCCGGGAUCGCCGUGAUGAGCUUCUCCUAUCAAAUCUUCCCCGGUUUUGUGCGUUCGGUCGGUAUAAUUACAGGUAUGUUUAGCUGAAUUAUCAUAACCAGUUUGCAAAGCGCUUUAUUUACAGAUGCGUGCUAUAAAAAGUGGUUAUCUGGCGCAAAGGCGUUUAUAGCCAAAAGGAUUGCAACAUAGCACGGCAACACCCCUCCAACUAAUUACAUAAGAAAAGCUAACGCAACGCAACGAGUACGGCUCCUUAUUUACCAGAAAUGUAACUCGGGAUCCCAAUUCCCGGUCUCAUCAGACUUUCCUAGACAUUCUUCCCAAAAGGCAAGUACGAGAAUUCUUGAGAAAUGGCCCAUCGUCCACUUCCAAGUAACGCAGCGCUGUGCACGGCGUAAUAACGAGGUCCUCUAACGAGAGGAGCCGUAGCAGCAGUCUCUCCGCUUGCUGGUGCGGUCGGGUCGGCACCGAUUGCGGAGCAGAAAGCCGCUUCGGCUCUUCUCCUAACACUGAGCUCCCCCAGCGCAGCCUGCAAAAACUCCUCCUGCACCUCUAAGAGGCGAAUUAUUUUUUAAUUACUAUUUUAGACCGAGCACAAUGGCAAGUUACUGCAGAGCCCUGCGACGACGCACAGCGGCAGCCCCCUAUGAGGUCUCAUUAAACUUCCCUUUACGUCACCGCCGUUCUUUUAUAAGGAGCGCCGCGUAUCUUCAUGCCUUUACACCCGAACGCCGACCUCCGAGAGAAGGACGCGGCCCCAAGCUGGGCACCGGGAAAGACGCUCUGCGAAGGAGAAGGAGCCGUCCCAGGCAAGUCUGGUUUCCCCGUGCAGCCGGCAGCGUUUGGGGGCUAUUAAAAGCAAAGAUCUUGCGAAGCCAAGAGCGUCACCGCAGUUAGGAGUUCGCCCGAGAAGCGUGGCCAACCCAACUCGUUGGGCAUGCCCGGGGUAAGGCUGUCACCGUGACCCAGAGCUACAGCUUGCGGCCGUGGGUGGG